CCUGGAAACUCCUACGGGAGGCAGCAGUGGGGAAUCUUCCGCAAUGGGCGAAAGCCUGACGGAGCAACGCCGCGUGAGUGAAGACGGCCUUCGGGUUGUAAAGCUCUGUUAUACGGGACGAAUAGUCUUGUGGUUAAUACCCAUGAGAAGUGACGGUACCGUAAGAGAAAGCCACGGCUAACUACGUGCCAGCAGCCGCGGUAAUACGUAGGUGGCAAGCGUUGUCCGGAAUUAUUGGGCGUAAAGGGCGCGCAGGCGGCUUCUUAAGUCUGUCUUAAAAGUGCAGGGCUUAACCCCGUGAUGAGAUGGAAACUGGGAAGCUCAGAGUAUCGGAGAGGUAAGCGGAAUUCCUAGUGUAGCGGUGAAAUGCGUAGAUAUUAGGAGGAACACCAGUGGCGAAAGCGGCUUUCUGGACGAAAACUGACGCUGAGGCGCGAAAGCUAGGGGAGCGAACGGGAUUAGAAACCCUAGUAGUCC
rnacentral:rRNA from 1 species